rnacentral:rRNA from 1 species
GUAGGUGGCAAGCGUUGUCCGGAAUUAUUGGGCGUAAAGCGCGCGCAGGCGGUCCUUUAAGUCUGAUGUGAAAGCCCACGGCUCAACCGUGGAGGGUCAUUGGAAACUGGGGGACUUGAGUACAGAAGAGGAAAGCGGAAUUCCAAGUGUAGCGGUGAAAUGCGUAGAGAUUUGGAGGAACACCAGUGGCGAAGGCGGCUUUCUGGUCUGUAACUGACGCUGAGGCGCGAAAGCGUGGGGAGCAAACAGGGAUUAGAUACCCUGGUAGUCCACGCCGUAAACGAUGAGUGCUAAGUGUUAGGGGGUUUCCGCCCCCUUAGUGCUGCAGCUAACGCACUAAGCACUCCGCCUGGGGAGUACGGCCGCAAGGCUG